GACGAACGCUGGCGGCGUGCUUAACACAUGCAAGUCGAACGGUAAGGCCCUUUCGGGGGUACACGAGUGGCGAACGGGUGAGUAACACGUGGGUGAUCUGCCCUGCACUUUGGGAUAAGCCUGGGAAACUGGGUCUAAUACCGGAUAGGACUACGCGAUGCAUGUCGUGUGGUGGAAAGCUUUUGCGGUGUGGGAUGGGCCCGCGGCCUAUCAGCUUGUUGGUGGGGUGAUGGCCUACCAAGGCGACGACGGGUAGCCGGCCUGAGAGGGUGUCCGGCCACACUGGGACUGAGAUACGGCCCAGACUCCUACGGGAGGCAGCAGUGGGGAAUAUUGCACAAUGGGCGCAAGCCUGAUGCAGCGACGCCGCGUGGGGGAUGACGGCCUUCGGGUCGUAAACCCCUUUCAGCACAGACGAAGCGUAAGUGACGGUAUGUGCAGAAGAAGCACCGGCCAACUACGUG
rnacentral:rRNA from 1 species